rnacentral:piRNA from 1 species
UAAGAAGAAAGGAUCUUUUUCAUUCACAG